GACGAACGCUGGCGGCGUGCUUAACACAUGCAAGUCGAACGGAAAGGCCCUGCUUUUGUGGGGUGCUCGAGUGGCGAACGGGUGAGUAACACGUGAGUAACCUGCCCUUGACUUUGGGAUAACUUCAGGAAACUGGGGCUAAUACCGGAUAGGAGCUCCUGCUGCAUGGUGGGGGUUGGAAAGUUUCGGCGGUUGGGGAUGGACUCGCGGCUUAUCAGCUUGUUGGUGGGGUAGUGGCUUACCAAGGCUUUGACGGGUAGCCUGCCUGAGAGGGUGACCGGGCACAUUGGGACUGAGAUACGGACCAGACGCCUACGGGAGGCAGCAGGGGGGAAUAUUGCACAAUGGGCGGAAGCCUGAUGCAGCAACGCCGCGUGCGGGAUGACGGCCUUCGGGUUGUAAACCGCUUUCGCCUGUGACGAAGCGUGAGUGACGGUAAUGGGUAAAGAAGCACCGGCUAACUACGUG
rnacentral:rRNA from 1 species